rnacentral:lncRNA from 1 species
UAAAGACGAUACGUUUUGAUGCCGGCCGGUUUUAUACUUUAUUUUAUUACAAGUUAAUUAUCGUUUUCGGACAAUGCAAGUGUUAAAAUUGACAUUAAGUGUGACUAUUGUGAAGGUUCUUCCACGAUGAGAGAGAAAUCCACCAAGAAAAUGUUGCAAGUGUAAAGGAUCUACGAAAGCCGUUUGCCAAUUCACGUGUUAAGAAGGCAUGUUAUUCCUGGGGCUGAGAGAGAGUCGAAAACACUUGUUAAUUAGUUUAAAUCAAGUGACUUUGAACUUCUACUAAUGAAACAGGUUCUUACCCUGGUUUGUUGAUGGCCGCCCUAGUUAAUGGCGUAUUAACAUUAACAAGGAUGGUACACCAGGGCAGAAAAGUUGGAGUAUUCCCACACCUCUACAAGUGACGCCAAAGAUUAUUCAAGGGCGAAUUAUUUUUCAUUUCGACAUCGAGGAAGUACCCGUGGGACAAACGACAUUUGACCAUUUUCCAACGACGUAACGUACAGGUAGUCUAAUCAACGAGGGAAAUGAAUGACAAGUGACCCAAGUGAAAAAUCCCAAGAGAUGAUGAAACUUCAACGGAUAACGUUCGUUAAGUUGGGAGUGUUGGAAAAUGGUCGCGUACCAUAUUUAUUAGUGCGUCCUUCGGGAAUACGGGAGUGCUCUGGAGUGUUCCAAGAGUACUGCACACUAUCGUACCGUAAUUAUUGUGAGGCACUCGCGAGUCGGGAGUUUACGCGAAGAAUUGUGAUUAUCCUUCUUUGUAAUUCGCCGAAGUUACCGUAUAGUAUUCAAAUGUGCCGCUUGUCUGUCCGGGAGUGCUCGGGAGAAUUUGGGAAUAGUGCACUAUUUUUGAACGUAGCUUUGACAAUCGGUAACAGAGUUCAAUAUUCACAUGGAUUAUCUACAACAAGGAAUCUCAUCGAGAAGGUUUGUCGACGUAUAGAUCGUCUCAGGAUAAAAAGUAAGAUGCAUGUUUUCUAAAAAAUUUUGAAAAGAAUCAAUUGCGGUAAUCAAUUAAUAAAAUGGUGCGAACAAAAGGCAAGGGAUAAACUUAGUAUUCUCGAUAAGAAGAACAUGACAGAAAUGUAGAAAAGGUAAAACAAAUAGAUAAGUGAAUUAUUAAACAGCGAUCUAAAACAGGGAUUUGGUGGUUACUUAUUCCACUUGUUUUGUAACCCUAAUGGAAGAUUAGGAGUUCAAGUAUGUACCAAAUGGGGUCACAGAUAUUUACUAUAACAAAUAAUGUUGUGGUAUGUAAAUAAUAUUAUUAAUAUGCUAUUUAAAAUUUAUAAACAGGUCAGGGGAAAAAAUCUAAUUAAAGUGAAGUAUUCUUGGGGACAAAAAAAUGACGACAAAAAUGAACAAAAGGUAAAACAAAUGUACAAGUGAAUUAUUAAGCGGAAAUCUAAAACAGGGUUUUAAUGAUUACUUAUCCACUUAUUUUGUAUCCCGAAUGGAAGAUUUGAACUUCAAAUAUGUGCCAAAUGGGCUCAAGGAUAUUUGCCAUAACGAAUAAUGUUGUGGUAUAUAAAAAAUAUUAUUAAUAUGGUAUGUAUAGAAAGACGCGGAAAAAGUGCUGGGAAAUAAUUCUAGUGAUAGUGAAGUAUUCUUGAGGAAAAGAAGAAGUUGACGAUGAAGAAAAGGUAAAACAAAUGUACAAGUGAAUUAUUAAGCGGAAAUCUAAAACAGGGUUUUAUUGAUUACUUAUCCACUUAUUUUGUAUCCCGAAUGGAAGAUUUGAACUUCAAAUAUGUGCCAAAUGGGCUCAAGGAUAUUUGCCAUAACGAAUAAUGUUGUGGUAUAUAAAAAAUAUUAUUAAUAUGGUAUGUAUAGAAAGACGCGGAAAAAGUGCUGGGAAAUAAUUCUAGUGAUAGUGAAGUAUUCUUGAGGAAAAGAAGAAGUUGACGAUGAAGAAAAGGUAAAACAAAUGUACAAGUGAAUUAUUAAGCGGAAAUCUAAAACAGGGUUUUAUUGAUUACUUAUCCACUUAUUUUGUAUCCCGAAUGGAAGAUUUGAACUUCAAAUAUGUGCCAAAUGGGCUCAAGGAUAUUUGCCAUAACGAAUAAUGUUGUGGUAUAUAAAAAAUAUUAUUAAUAUGGUAUGUAUAGAAAGACGCGGAAAAAGUGCUGGGAAAUAAUUCUAGUGAUAGUGAAGUAUUCUUGAGGAAAAGAAGAAGUUGACGAUGAAGAAAAGGUAAAACAAAUGUACAAGUGAAUUAUUAAGCGGAAAUCUAAAACAGGGUUUUAUUGAUUACUUAUCCACUUAUUUUGUAUCCCGAAUGGAAGAUUUGAACUUCAAAUAUGUGCCAAAUGGGCUCAAGGAUAUUUGCCAUAACGAAUAAUGUUGUGGUAUAUAAAAAAUAUUAUUAAUAUGGUAUGUAUAGAAAGACGCGGAAAAAGUGCUGGGAAAUAAUUCUAGUGAUAGUGAAGUAUUCUUGAGGAAAAGAAGAAGUUGACGAUGAAGAAAAGGUAAAACAAAUGUACAAGUGAAUUAUUUAUUAUUAAACGGAAAUCUAAAACAGGGAUUUAGUGGUUACUAAUUCAACUGGACUUCAGGUAUGUACCAAAUGGAAUGAAACGGGUAUUUGCCAUAACGAAAAAUGUUGUGGGAUGUAAGUAAUACUAUUAAUAUCUAUGUCAUUUGUUUUAUAUCGUAUGGAAGUCAAUAAGAAAUAAGCGAAAUAGAUUAGUAGGACACCUUCU